rnacentral:ribozyme from 12 species
UUGAAACGAAAAAAAAAUAUACAAAAAAAUAAAAAAUCGAAAAAAAUCCUGUGCU